CAAGAAACCCUUUUUCUGGAGGGCACAUAUUUCGUUGUCCACCCUUCUAGAGCAUUAAAGACAGUAUGAUGGUUACAACCAUCUAAUCAGGUCAAUUUCUAGCACAAGGAUAUAUUAUUGGUGGAAGGGGGAUCCCACUUAUAUGAGCAUCACAUGUCCAAUGACCACAUUCAUAGAUCAUCUUAGGUGUGUUAAUGGCUAGGGUCUACAUGGGCAUACUUACAAGAAACUUUAAGUUUGAAUUUUUUGCCAUGGUAAAAUAGAUAUAAAGAAAUGCUGAAAAUACUAUU